UACUAUUUCCUCGCUGCAUGGAAUCUGGAAUUCCAACAGAUGUUAUCUCCCAUUAAACCAUAUAUAACUAAGUUGCAGAUGGUACAAUUUAUUGUGUUGAUAAUACUUCUAAUGCAGUGGAUGAAUCCUAAUUGUGAGGCGCACACACAAAAAAA